UACAGAGGUCUCAAGCGUUGUUCGGAUUCAUUGGGCGUAAAGGGUGCGUAGGCGGCCCGGUAAGUCGGGUGUGAAAUCUCGGAGCUUAACUCCGAAACUGCAUUCGAUACUACCGUGCUUGAGGACUGGAGAGGAGACUGGAAUUUACGGUGUAGCGGUGAAAUGCGUAGAUAUCGUAAGGAAGACCAGUGGCGAAGGCGGGUCUCUGGACAGUUCCUGACGCUGAGGCACGAAGGCCAGGGGAGCGAACGGG
rnacentral:rRNA from 1 species